UAAACCUGGAGCAACAAUAGUGGAAUCAACAAAACAGCGAGAUGGUUUCUGCUUUUAAAUCAUUCCUGCAAAUACCUCUUCCAAAAAGUAUACUCUUGAACAUUGAAAUCCAUUCUAUGCUGUACCUUCCAAACUUGCUUUUUUCUUUGAUAUAAAGAUGAUUUGAAAUUACUCUUUUGGAAAUGCAGUAUUGUUAUAAUAAGAUAUGAUUGCAGAGUUUAAGUGAAUAAUGAAAAGCCACAAAUGAAGCAGAAUAAUGCAAGAGUUUUGAAGAAGGAACAUUAUAAAAUACUUCCUAGUUAAAAGCUUCGCUUAUUUGCGACGUUACAGCUUUAAGAAGGCAAAUGUAAGAAAAUUUAAUCUAAAAAUGGUCAUACUUCAAAAAACACUCAGUAGGAAUGCUAUUAUUAAUACAUAGUACGUAAAGACCGCCUAAAAGGAGAGGCCUGGGUCACCCCUUGUAUAAGAUGUUUGGCCAUUAUUCUGAUUUACAAGAUUGGUUUCCUCCUAUUAAUUAUUAUUCCGAUUAUUAAUAUCCUAUUCCUCCGAUUAUUAAUAUCCUAUUAAAGAUUUGAAUUUGAAGAAUUGAUAGAUGAAUAUAGGGAUCCAAGGCAGUAAAAUUUGAAUAUAAGCAACAAUGCAUCUGGACAUAUUAAGUAUUUUUUUAUAUCUAAAAUUUUAUUUCUUUUUGGGUAUAUAUAUUUUUACUAGUUUUUAAUGUUCAUCAGUGUCUUUUAUUUAUUCUAAAUCUCUGUUUUUUUAAACUUACAGCUAUUGAAAAAAAAAUGUGUUUGAUUUUUGUGCAUUGUAUUUUUAGAACUAAUGUUAUCUACUUUCUUUUAGUGAUAACGCAGCUACCUAUGGUUAAGUGUUAGAAGUUUAUAUUUCAAUUUACAUAGUCACAGUUUAAGAAAUAGAAUUAUAUAUUUAUUAUAACAUAUUAUAAUAAACGGAAGGAGAAAUGAGACUUGACUUAUUAACCAUAUAUCACAAAAAGUGUUAACAGCUUCUACAAUAUUAUGUAAAUUGGGUAUUUCAUGCUAUUGUGCAUGUAUACAGUGAAGAAAUAAGAAGAAAAUCUUUCAUUUGCAUCUUAACAAAGCGUCCUGUCUUUUCAAAUUUUUCCUUUGGCGCGCUUAAUUGAUUACAGCGCCAUACUUGUUUAGUGAAAAUAUUUUCUAAUCGAUUGCGACGCCACCGUACGGAAAGUUUUAAAAAUCUAAUAAUACAGCGAAGAGAGCUUGCUAUGAGCAAGAAAGAAGAAUACAUCAAGUAAAAUGGAGAGAAAUAAGAUUUUCUUUUGAGAAAAUAUCUUCAGGUCAAAGAAUAAUUUCAUAAGAACACCUCACCGAUUGUACCCUGCUCUUCAAUGAAAGUGUGUGCCAAAUAAAGAGUAAACCUGAAGCAACAAUAUUGGAAUCAACAAAACAGCGAGAUGGUUUCAGCUUUCAAAUCAUUCCUGCAAAUACCUCUUUCAAAAAUUAUAUUCUCGAACAUUGAAAUCCAUUCUAUGAUGUACCUCCCAAACCUGCUUUUUUCUUUGAUAUAAAGAUGAUUUGAAAUUACUAUUUUCUAAAUGCAGUAUUGUUAUGAAGAUAUUAUUGCAGUAUAUAAUAUAAGAAAUAUCUGCAAGUACUGGAAAUAUGGACAUACGGUAUACAUCAGAAAGAAAACGGUAUAGACGAAUCUAUAAUCGAAGGACUUUCAUUCUAGUUGGCUGUUUAUAUGUCUAAAAAUAAAUCUAUAAUUAUUAUAUUAAUGUUAAUUGUAUUUAUAAACUAUUAUUUUUC